GCGGGGGUGCCCGAGCUGGUCAAAGGGGGCGGACUCAAGAGAUCCGCUGGCGAAGGCCUUCGCGGGUUCAAAUCCCGUCCCCCGCA
rnacentral:tRNA from 1 species